rnacentral:lncRNA from 1 species
UUAAUAGAAAAUUCUUUCGGUGUCGAUUCACCGUGUCGUCGGGGUUAAAAAUAAAAAGUAAACUUUUAAAUACAUUCGCACUUUUUCACUUUAAUAUUCUGUAAUUUAAAAUGUAUCAAUUUAGUAUCAUAUGAUUUUAUUUUAUUUCUUUUUAUUAGCUUUUUCGUUAACAUUUCGUUAAAUUAUAUACAAAGAAUUUCAGAUAUCUCAUCUAGAUUUAUCGAAUAUUUAUUUUAGUACCCUUUAGUUUUAACUUUGUCACUGAUUUAAUAAAAAAAAAUAGUGGAGAGAAUACUAAAAAAAAAAAAAAACUAUGGGGUACUAAAAUAAAAAAAGUGAGAAACUGUAGGAUGGCGUUCGAAGGUUUUUCAAAAUAAAAGAAGGGGUAGAAAAUUUGAGAUAAACCGAAAUUUUUCAUUUUUGUUUUUCAUUUUUUUGUGGUUAGUGAAACAACUUCGACCUAUGCUAACAUUGUCCUGAAAUUUUAUUUUAUUUUUAUUUUUCCACCCCUCCCUUUUAACCCGAACGAUACGGUGGAUCGACAUUAAACAAUUUUUUUAUUAAGAAAAAAAUUAAAAGUCAUAGAUGAGAACUUAAAUAUGUGUCUCUCUCAAAAAGACGAAGACGAGGACGCGGACGCGGACGCGGACGACGAUUAAGUAAGUAGAAUGCGAAAAAUUUGAAUAAGAAAAGCACAUGAACAACUGAAGUAAAUGUUUGUGAAGACUUAUAUGAAGUCUUGGCCGUGAUGUUUAGAGUGCUUGCUUGACACAGACAUCUGAAAAUAGCUUUUCAAGUCUUUUAUGUAGAAAUUAAAAAGGCCAAUUUGCAUAAAAAAUCUACUUAUUUUCUGAUUCUGCAUACUUAUGCACUGUCGCGAUCGUCGUCCUCGUCCUCAUCUUUGUUGUUUUGAGAGAGAUAUAUCUAAAUUGUCACUUACAGUAUUCUUUUUGUUUACUUAAUAGAAAAAUCUUUCGGUGUCGAUUCACCGUGUCGUCGGGUUAAAAAUAAAAGCAAAAACUUUAAAUACCACCCAUGUGGUUUCGUACUUUUUUAUUUUAAUAUUCUGUAAUUUAAAAUAUAUCAAUUUAAUAUCAUAUGAUUUUAUUUUUUCUUUUCGUCAGCUCCUCCAUUAAUAUUUCGUUAAAUUAUAUACAAAGAACUUCAGAUACCCUAUUUAGGUUUAUUGAAUGUCCAUUUUAGUACUUUUUAGUUUUAAUUCUGUCACUGAUUUAAUAAAAAAAAUUAGUAGAGGGAAUAAUAAAAAGAUAAAAAUGAAACUACAUAAUACUAAAUUAAUACAUUUUAAAUUAUAGGGUACUGAAAUAAAAAAAAUGUGAAACCGCAGAGAUGGUAUUUGAAGGUUUUUCAAAAUAAAAAGAGGAGUAGAAAAUUUGGGAUAAACCGAAAUUUUUCAUUUUUGUU